CCUACGGGAGGCAGCAGUGGGGAAUAUUGCACAAUGGGCGCAAGCCUGAUGCAGCCAUGCCGCGUGUGUGAAGAAGGCCUUCGGGUUGUAAAGCACUUUCAGCGGGGAGGAAGGCGAUGAGGUUAAUAACCUCAUCGAUUGACGUUACCCGCAGAAGAAGCACCGGCUAACUCCGUGCCAGCAGCCGCGGUAAUACGGAGGGUGCAAGCGUUAAUCGGAAUUACUGGGCGUAAAGCGCACGCAGGCGGUCUGUCAAGUCGGAUGUGAAAUCCCCGGGCUCAACCUGGGAACUGCAUUCGAAACUGGCAGGCUAGAGUCUUGUAGAGGGGGGUAGAAUUCCAGGUGUAGCGGUGAAAUGCGUAGAGAUCUGGAGGAAUACCGGUGGCGAAGGCGGCCCCCUGGACAAAGACUGACGCUCAGGUGCGAAAGCGUGGGGAGCAAACAGGAUUAGAUACCCUAGUAGUC
rnacentral:rRNA from 1 species